AUUGAACGCUGGCGGCAUGCUUUACACAUGCAAGUCGAACGGCAGCGCGGGCUUCGGCCUGGCGGCGAGUGGCGAACGGGUGAGUAAUGCAUCGGAACGUGCCCAGUCGUGGGGGAUAGCGCGGCGAAAGCCGGAUUAAUACCGCAUACGACCUGCGGGUGAAAGCGGGGGAGCGCAAGACCUUGCGCUAUUGGAGCGGCCGAUGGCGGAUUAGCUAGUUGGUGGGGUAAAGGCUUACCAAGGCGACGAUCCGUAGCUGGUCUGAGAGGACGACCAGCCACACUGGGACUGAGACACGGCCCAGACUCCUACGGGAGGCAGCAGUGGGGAAUUUUGGACAAUGGGGGCAACCCUGAUCCAGCCAUGCCGCGUGCGGGAAGAAGGCCUUCGGGUUGUAAACCGCUUUUGUUCGGGAAGAAACCCUCUUGGCUAAUACCCAGGGGGGAUGACGGUACCGGAAGAAUAAGCACCGGCUAACUACGUG
rnacentral:rRNA from 1 species